rnacentral:rRNA from 1 species
UAGGGAAUCUUCGGGCAAUGGGGGGCAACCCUGACCGAGCAACGCCGCGUGAGUGAAGAGGUUUUCGGAUCGUAAAGCUCUGUUGUAAGAGAAGAACGGAUGUGGGAGUGGAAAAUCCAUGUCGUGACGGUAUCUUACCAGAAAGGGACGGCUAACUACGUGCCAGCAGCCGCGGUAAUACGUAGGUCCCGAGCGUUGUCCGGAUUUAUUGGGCGUAAAGCGAGCGCAGGCGGUUUCAUAAGUCUGAAGUUAAAGGCAGUGGCUUAACCAUUGUACGCUUUGGAAACUGUGAGACUUGAGUGCAGAAGGGGAGAGUG